AUACGGAGGGUGCAAGCGUUAAGCGGAAUUACUGGGCGUAAAGCGUACGUAGGCGGUUAUUUAAGUCAGAUGUGAAAGCCCCGGGCUUAACUUGGGAACUGCAUUUGAAACUGGGUAACUAGAGUUUAGUAGAGGGGAGUGGAAUUUCAGGUGUAGCGGUGAAAUGCGUAGAGAUCUGAAGGAACACCAGUGGCGAAGGCGACUCCCUGGACUACAACUGACGCUGAGGUACGAAAGCGUGGGUAGCAAACAGGAUUAGAAACCCCAGUAGUCC
rnacentral:rRNA from 1 species